UUACGGCCAUAUCACGUUGAAAUAUCGGUUUCCAUACGGUCACCGAAGUUAAGCAACAUCGAACCUGGUUAGUACCUAGAUGGAUGACCGGUUGGGAAUAACAGGUUCUGUAAG